UGUUGAUACUGUGUACAAUGCUCUUCUGGUUCUCAUAUCACUCAUCAUCAGUUCAUGUGCUGGAGAAACAACGAACAAUUAUUUCCCUUCAAGUUGUUUGCAAGAGGCACAAAGAUAAUAAUUUGAGGAGGGAGAAGACACCAACACUUGCAGAGGGAAGAUCACCAAAUGCUUCAGACAGUGGACCCACCACAUUUGGACUCUAACAUUAGAGAUGUGCUUAUGGUGGAAGUAGACAUGGCACUAAAGAUAAUGAAGAUGGAAAAAUAGACAAAUUGGACAAAGUGUAUAUAGAAGAGAUCUGUGCUGAAGGUGACAUCUUUGGAAGGGUAUUGAAGGACCAAUACACAGAGUAUCUGAAGAAAGGGAAGAUACCAAAGGCAUGGAAAAAUCUUGGACCUUAUUAAUAGUGGAAAAAAGUCCCGGCAUGAAAACAGCUGAUCCAGGGAGCCAGCCUCACCUCCUACUUCCUGUCUCCCUCCCUGGAAGGGGAGGUACUUCAAGCUGAUUGGUUGAGGGCAGUCUCCUGUUGAUGUCAUAG